GCCAGUGAUAAACUGGAGGAAGGUGGGGAUGACGUCAAGUCAUCAUGGCCCUUACGACCAGGGCUACACACGUGCUACAAUGGCGCAUACAAAGAGAAGCGACCUCGCGAGAGCAAGCGGACCUCAUAAAGUGCGUCGUAGUCCGGAUUGGAGUCUGCAACUCGACUCCAUGAAGUCGGAAUCGCUAGUAAUCGUGGAUCAGAAUGCCACGGUGAAUACGUUCCCGGGCCUUGUACACACCGCCCGUCACACCAUGGGAGUGGGUUGCAAAAGAAGUAGGUAGCUUAACCUUCGGGAGGGCGCUUACCACUUUGUGAUUCAUGACUGGGGUGAAGUCGUAACAAGGUAACCGUAGGGGAACCUGCGGUUGGAUCACCUCCUUA
rnacentral:rRNA from 4 species